CUUUUGCAUCAAGAGUUGGGUCCACCCCAACGCCAACCUGCCCUCCCAGGCAAGGUGGCAGCCUUAGGGCGAUGCGGCCGAUCGUCGGCAACGAAAUGGGAUCUA
rnacentral:ncRNA from 2 species